rnacentral:rRNA from 1 species
GAUGAACGCUGGCGGCGUGCCUAAUACAUGCAAGUCGAGCGAACGGACGAGAAGCUUGCUUCUCUGAUGUUAGCGGCGGACGGGUGAGUAACACGUGGAUAACCUACCUAUAAGACUGGGAUAACUUCGGGAAACCGUAGCUAAUACCGUAUAAUAUUUUGAACCGCAUGGUUCAAAAGUGAAAGACGGUCUUGCUGUCACUUAUAGAUGGAUCCGCGCUACAUUAGCUAGUUGGUAAGGUAACGGCUUACCAAGGCAACGAUGCAUAGCCGACCUGAGAGGGUGAUCGGCCACACUGGAACUGAGACACGGUCCAGACUCCUACGGGAGGCAGCAGUAGGGAAUCUUCCGCAAUGGGCGAAAGCCUGACGGAGCAACGCCGCGUGAGUGAUGAAGGUCUUCGGAUCGUAAAACUCUGUUAUUAGGGAAGAACAUAUGUGUAAGUAACUGUGCACAUCUUGACGGUACCUAAUCAGAAAGCCACGGCUAACUACGUG